UGUCCCUGCCCAACCACACAGCCGGAUGCCUGCCAUGCCAUCAACAAACACACACGGAUUCGUAUUGCAUUUAUCUCCUCCUUUUCAAUCCAACCAAGUCGGGACACAAACAAGGAUGAGGAGCAAGCGCCGCCAAAGGAACCAAAAACACGACUAAAACUUGCUCCGAUUCUUAUCUCAAACUCUCUGUUUAGAUCACCCUGUUGGUCUACUCCCUCUGUAAAGAUUGUAAUGUAAUUCUUUACAGGGGGAGUACACAAGAGGUGGUAAAGUGCAAUCUAGACUAUAGACUGUAAGCAAAACAAAGGCAAAAAAGAUGCUAACUGAACCCAACAAACAAUUAAAGCGACUUUUUAUCGUCACCUCCAUUUCCCCAGCCAAACAAAGGCGAAGAACAUUAAGCUUAACUAUCUCACGGCACCAGGUGUCCUUUUCAGUCCAACCAGGAGGGGACAGAAAGGAGACCGGGAAGAGAAGCAGGCGGCACACAAGAAAGAAACCAAGACCGAAAUAACAAAACUUGUCAUCAGCUCUAGAUUCUGUUUACAACGGUUUCCUCUCAAUUCCGGUACAAAACAGUUGGUAAAAUACAGCUAGAAUGUAUGUAUUGUAGAACAAAACCAGACAGACACAAUGGGUGAUGAGAUAAGAGCCCAACACUGCUCACCAGGCAUGAGAUAGAUCGGCGGCCUGUACAACCACAUCUCAGAUUCGCACUACAAUCAAGAUACACAAAGUCUACACAGCAGCAGCCACCCCUGCUGGGUGGGGUGGGUAGGGUAGGACCAAGGGACAAGCCAAGUCGCACUUAUUUGCAGAACCAGAGCAAGAGAGAUGAGCUGUAGGUAGCAAGUGAAGGGCUACAACACCGGUGUAUUAUGACGGAUGGCCGGGGGGCAGUAUCAUCAGCCUCUUCCAUAUGAACCGCCUCCCCCACGCUGAGGGUACGAGUCUUCCUGCCCGCCACCCCUCCCAUAGCCUCCUCUGCCACUGCCGCCACCAUAGUAGUUAUCCUGCCCACCGCCACCACCCCUUCCCAUGUUUCCAUGGCCUCCUCUCCCACCACCGUAGUAGUUCUCCUGGCCGCCGCCCCUUCCCAUGUUUCCAUAGUCUCCUCUGCCACCAUAGUACGACCCACGGGAACGCCCACCGCCCCCACGGUAACCACCACGUCCACCGCCACGGUAGGGCUGGCGAUGCCUUGGGAACUC
rnacentral:lncRNA from 1 species